UGGGGAAUAUUGGACAAUGGGGGCAACCCUGAUCCAGCAAUGCCGCGUGAGUGAUGAAGGCCUUCGGGUUGUAAAGCUCUUUUCUUGGGGACGAUAAUGACGGUACCCGAGGAAUAAGCCCCGGCUAACUUCGUGCCAGCAGCCGCGGUAAUACGAAGGGGGCUAGCGUUGUUCGGAAUGACUGGGCGUAAAGGGCGCGUAGGCGGUGAGAUAAGUUUGAUGUGAAAUCCCUGGGCUUAACCUAGGACGUGCAUUGAAGACUGUUUCGCUAGAGGCCAAGAGAGGAAAAUGGAAUUGCGCGUGUAGAGGUGAAAUUCGUAGAGAUGCGCAAGAACACCAGUGGCGAAGGCGAUUUUCUGGCUUGGUACUGACGCUAAGGCGCGAAAGCGUGGGGAGCAAA
rnacentral:rRNA from 1 species